AGACCACACAGUGAUCUGACUAGU
rnacentral:siRNA from 1 species